rnacentral:rRNA from 1 species
ACUCAAAGGAAUUGACGGGGGCCCGCACAAGCGGUGGAGCAUGUGGAUUAAUACGUCACUAACCGUAGAACCUUACCCAGGCUUGACAUCCGUGGAAUCUUCCUGAAAGGGAGGAGUGCUCGCAAGAGAGCCACGAGACAGGUGUUGCAUGGCUGUCGUCAGCUCGUGUCGUGAGAUGUUGGGUUAAGUCCCGCAACGAGCGCAACCCUCACGGCCUGUUGCCAGCACUCGCAAGAGGAUGGGCACUCUGGCCGAACUGCCCGGGUAACCGGGAGGAAGGUGGGGAUGACGUCAAGUCAGCAUGGCCCUUACGCCUGGGGCUUCACACAUGCUACAAUGGCCGGUACAGAGGGUCCCAAGCCCGCGAGGGGGAGGCAAUCCCAAAAAGCCGGUCUCAGUUCGGAUCGCAGGCUGCAACUCGCCUGCGUGAAGUUGGAAUCGCUAGUAACCGCCGGUCAGCUAAACGGCAGUGAAUACGUUCCCGGGCCUUGUACACACCGCCCGU